CCCUCUUCUUCUUCGUUAAAAACCCUCACUCUUAUCGACUUUCAUGGCACUCCUCCUCCUCCUUCUCCUUCUCCUUCACCUUGGUGGCAUCAAUGGAGACCACUGUCAAGCCUCGUCGCCUCCGUGUCGCCGUCCAGAACUAUGACUGGGGUCGCACCGGUGAGGAAGCGGCCGUCGCCCGCCUCUUCUCCCUCAAUGACCCCAACUCCCCCAUCGACCUCUCCCUCCCCUUUGCCGAGCUCUGGAUCGGUACUCAUCCCUCUGGCCCCUCCUUCUUAUUCCCUGAUGACUCCGACUCGGAUGGGGUUGUGCCAUUGAAGGACUGGAUUCUCCAAAACCCCAGCGCCGUCCUUGGGUCUGAAGUCACGAAGCGGUGGAGAGAUGACCUGCCGUUCUUGUUCAAGGUUUUGUCGGUCUCGAAGGCGCUGUCGAUACAGGCGCAUCCGGAUAAGGAGUUGGCGGAGGUGCUGCAUAAGAUGCGGCCGAAUGUGUACAAGGAUUCUAAUCAUAAGCCUGAGAUGGCGAUCGCGCUAUCAGAGUUUAAAGCCCUCUGUGGCUUUGUCAGCUUAGAGGAGCUUAAGGAUGUUCUUACUAGUGUUCCAGAGAUUGGAGAGAUUGUUGGUGAUGAGCAUGUAGACAGGAUUAUGACUCUCAAAGAGACAGAUGCAUGUGAGGAAAUAAAAAUUGCUUUACAGUCAAUUUACACAAAGCUGAUGUUGGCAAGCCAGGAGACGGUUUCUGAGCACGUGUCUAAAUUGAUGCACCGUUUGAAUGCAGAAAAUAAGGAUAGGAUCCUAACAGAGAAAGAACAACUAGCGCUGCAGUUAGAGAAGCAAUAUCCAAGCGACAUUGGAGUUAUAUCAGCCUUCUUCUUUAAUUAUGUAAAACUCAUCCCAGGUGAAGCUUUGUCUAUUGGUGCUAAUGAACCUCAUGCUUAUAUUUCUGGUGAAUGCAUUGAAUGUAUGGCGACAUCAGACAAUGUUGUACGUGCUGGCCUGACUCCUAAAUAUAAGGAUGUUCAUACUCUUUGCUCCAUGCUUACAUACAAGCAGGGGUUUCCUGAGGUUCUGCAAGGGAUUCCCUUGAAUGAUCAUGUAUCGAGGUAUACUCCUCCAUUUGAUGAAUUUGAGGUUGACCGUAUUUCACUGCCUCCAGCAGAGUCUCUGGAGUUUCCUGCUGUCCCAGGCCCAUCAAUUUUUAUUGUGGUGGCUGGGCAAGGCAGUAUGCAGAUGUCCUCUUCAACUGCUGGAGAGAUGAUCAUGGAGGGAAAUGCAUUCUUUGUCCCUGCCAAAAAUGAAAUAAAGUUCAGUGCUGGUGUUUCUGGAGAACUGCAACUCUACAGAGCUGGAGUGAACAGUAGAUUCUUUGAUUAAUGCUUUGGAUGGAAAAUCUCUAGUUUUGGCUUUGCAGCAAAAUCAAAAUAUUGCGCACUAGUUCGUUCAUCAAGGAUCUCUAGUUUUGGCUUUGGAGCAAAUCAAAAUAAUGUGCACUAGUUCAUCAAGGCAUCGGUAACAAUAGAAACAUUUUCCGCCGUGGCGUGAUACAAGUGUGAAGGACAUGUGCUUCAAUUCACCGUUUUAAGUUCAUGGGAGUCAGUCAUGGGUGAGAUAUGUGCUCGUUGGGCCGUAGAUGUUUCUCAAGUUAAAGUGAAGCUCGUAAUGCCUGACGCAUACAAAACGCUUUGCCCAAUUGAGUCUGACGCUGAUUUUCAACGUAUGUGUCGUAUAUACCAUAGUUUCAAUAAAUUUGUUGUGGACAUCAUCAUCGAGGAUGUCAGUGUCUCUGCAGAUGGAAACUCGGCCUCCUUGAUCCCAUUGUAAUACUACAAUCACUGAUUUUCCUAGUUACUUAUCGUUUAUGUGUUUUUUUUUGUUAAU